GUGUGUUUGGUGUUCGGGGUAAGGUGUGUUUGGUGUUCGGGGUAAGGUGUGUCUGGUGUUCGGGGUAAGGUGUGUUUGGUGUCCGGGCUAAGGGGUGUUUGGUGUUUCUGGGUAAAGUGUGUUUGGUGUCCGGGGUAAGGGGUGUUUGGUGUUUCUGGAUAAAGUGUGUCUGGUGUUCGGGGUAAGUCGUGUCUGGUGUUCGGAGUAAGGUGUGUCUGGUCUUCGGGGUUAGUCGUGUCUGGUGUUCGGAGUAAGGUGUGUCUGGUGUUCGGGGUAAGGUGUGUUUGGUGUCCGGGCUAAGGGGUGUUUGGUGUUUCUGGGUAAAGUGUGUUUGGUGUCCGGGGUAAGGGGUGUUUGGUGUUUCUGGAUAAAGUGUGUCUGGUGUUCGGGGUAAGUCGUGUCUGGUGUUCGGAGUAAGGUGUGUCUGGUCUUCGGGGUUAGUCGUGUCUGGUGUUCGGAGUAAGGUGGGUUUGGUGUUCGGGGUAAGGUGUGUUUGUUGUUUCUGGGUAAAGUGUGUUUGGUGUUCGGGGUAAGGUGUGUCUGGUGUUCGGGGUAAGUUGUGUCUGGUGUUCGGAGUAAGGUGUGUCUGG
ensembl:lncRNA